UACGGAAGGGGCUAGCGUUGCUCGGAAUCACUGGGCGUAAAGCGCACGUAGGCGGAUUGUUAAAGUCAGGGGGUGAAAUCCUGGAGCUCAACUCCAGAACUGCCUUUGAUACUGGCGAUCUCGAGUCCGGGAGAGGUGAGUGGAACUGCGAGUGUAGAGGUGAAAUUCGUAGAUAUUCGCAAGAACACCAGUGGCGAAGGCGGCUCACUGGCCCGGUACUGACGCUGAGGUGCGAAACGUGGGGACAAGCAGGAUAAGAACCCU
rnacentral:rRNA from 1 species